GGAAUCUUGGACAAUGGGGGCAACCCUGAUCCAGCGACGCCGCGUGGGUGAUGAAGGCCUUCGGGUUGUAAAGCCCUUUCACCGGGGACGAUGAUGACGGUACCCGGAGAAGAAGCACCGGCUAACUCCGUCCCAGCAGCCGCGGUAAGACGGAGGGUGCUAGCGUUGUUCGGAAUCACGGGGAGUAAAGGGCGCGUAGGCGGCGGAUCAAGUCGGCUUGUGAAAGCCCGGGGCUCAACCUCGGAGGUGCAGCCGAGACUGCGGUGCUCGAGGCCGGAAGAGGAGGGUGGAAUACCCAGUGUAGAGGUGAAAUUCGUAGAUAUUGGGUGGAACACCGGUGGCGAAAGCGGCUCUCUGGUCCGGUACUGACGCUGAGGCGCGAAAGCGUGGGGAGCAAAC
rnacentral:rRNA from 1 species